UGGGGAAUUUUGGACAACGGACGCAAGUCUGAUCCAGCCAUGCCGCGUGCGGGAAGAAGGCCUUCGGGUUGUAAACCGCUUUUGUCAGGGAAGAAACGAGUUUCUCUAAUACAGAGACUUAAUGACGGUACCGUAAGAAUAAGCACCGGCUAACUACGUGCCAGCAGCCGCGGUAAUACGUUGGGUGCAAGCGUUAAUCGGAAUUACUGGGCGUAAAGCGUGCGCAGGCGGUUAUGUAAGACAGAUGUGAAAUCCCCGGGCUCAACCUGGGACCUGCAUUUGUGACUGCAUAGCUAGAGUACGGCAGAGGGGGAUGGAAUUCCGCGUGUAGCAGUGAAGUACGUAGAUAUGCGGAGGAACACCGAUGGCGAAGGCAAUCCCCUGGGCCUGUACUGACGCUCAUGCACGAAAGCGUGGGGAGCAAACA
rnacentral:rRNA from 1 species